rnacentral:rRNA from 1 species
AGUGAACGCUGGCGGUAGGCCUAACACAUGCAAGUCGAACGGCAGCACAGUAAGAGCUUGCUCUUACGGGUGGCGAGUGGCGGACGGGUGACGAAUACAUCGGAAUCUACUUUUUCGUGGGGGAUAACGUAGGGAAACUUACGCUAAUACCGCAUACGACCUACGGGUGAAAGCAGGGGAUCUUCGGACCUUGCGCGAUUGAAUGAGCCGAUGUCGGAUUAGCUAGUUGGCGGGGUAAAGGCCCACCAAGGCGACGAUCCGUAGCUGGUCUGAGAGGAUGAUCAGCCACACUGGAACUGAGACACGGUCCAGACUCCUACGGGAGGCAGCAGUGGGGAAUAUUGGACAAUGGGCGCAAGCCUGAUCCAGCCAUACCGCGUGGGUGAAGAAGGACUUCGGGUUGUAAAGCCCUUUUGUUGGGAAAGAAAAGCAGCAGGUUAAUACCCCGCUGUUCUGACGGUACCCAAAGAAUAAGCACCGGCUAACUUCGUG